UAAAAAUAUGGAUUGCAUUUAUUGGCUCGAUUUAAUUGGAUAUUCCUAAAUAAAAUUUAGCAACUAGUCACUUCCAGACGUCCCCUAAGUCUAUAUGUAAUUUAUUUCCAGAAUACAUCCAUCUCCUGCCUUAUUUUGGCACUUAUAUAAGAGUACCCAAAGUGCAAUGAGGCUGAGGCAGACAUAGGAUGGAAAAAAAAAAUUAAUACUCCCAAAAACAUUUACAUCUUCCACGGGAGAUAACUGGGGAACACAAGAGGGCAGAUCUAGGAUCGAGACAAGGGUCCAGCAGUGAACAAUGACACAGCGGAGAAAUGAGAACUUCAACUCCCAAGGAUAUAUGCUGCGUGAACUUGGAUAAAAACAGAACUGUCUGAAACUGGAGGAGUUUCAUCGCCGGGUUAACCUUGUUUUCAGCCUUGAUCUCAGUAGAACAGAUUUAAAAGGCGGUAAAAGUUUUAACAAUUUCUUUUUACUCAUCCUUUCACCUUUACUGAUGUAACAUUAUUCCACUUGCAGUACAUUUGAUUACUGGAAUUGACUGUCGCUUUGUACAUAUUUUAGAAACAUUUACAUAACCACAUUAAUUUUAGGAAAAUAAGUCGUUGAAGUAUAUCUGACUGAAUCGCUGAUGUUGUCUCCCUCCAAAACACGAUGUGACUGAUAUGAACUGCCUUUGCGGCUUUUCAGAUCCUUCCAACAUCAAUUUGCAUUCCAGCCUUGGUGCAGUGUUUGAAUAGCAUAGUUAUGCAAGAGGGUGGUGGUUCACAUGAAGGUAGAAAAAAGAUUUUUGUACUUUCUUGUGCUGUGAGAACAUGCAGUUGUGAGAAAUAACAGACGGACUAAAGUAGCUCAGAGUUUGCUGGUGUUCUAUUGGCAGUGAAUAAAAAUCCCCCACAAAACAAGGAAAUACUUUGUGUGGGGGGAAAGUAGAUAAAUUAUUCAUCACAUCUUCUGGGUUUUAGAAGUACCUUUUAUGUAAAAGUAUUUUUCUAAAAAAACCUACAUAUCAGAUGUAUGGGCCUGAUUCUGUUGUAUUCAUUCACUGAACAGCAUGGGAUCAGAGCAAACAUUGCUCUAUAGGUAUCAGUGAACUACUCUGAGGAGUUAUUCCACUUUGCUUUUAAACACGAAUCAUACAUGCUAUAUGAUCUGGUCUCUUUGCUCACUUUGAAUAGAGCAUCACAGACCCAAGGUACAAGAUGACAUUUAGCUCAGAGAACUUGCAGAGCCCAGACUGAGAACAAAUUUACAUGAAGAAAUAAGUGGAUAGCACUGAAAUAAAUAGGCAAAGAUUAUCACAAACCCCUAUACUCCUACAGCAAGGGCACAUUUAGAGAUACAAGAAAAACGUGUGGUCUGGGCAACCAAACCUCCAUGAGUCUCUAAUUACCACGACGUGUUCUGUUGAUGGUUCUGCUGAACUCUCAAGAUAAUUAUUAAGGUGUAAUGCAGUAGCUCUAAUGAUACGACUACAAAAGUUACCAGCCUUUGGCCUGGUAAUUUUGCCUGGAGAGAAAUGCACUUAUUUACUUACUCCCCAAUAUGGUGUUAAUUAGAUAUCACAUUCCUUUUCUAGAAGUCCAAUAUCAAAAUCCCCUCUUUGAAAAAGUCAUGUUCAACUAGCUGUCACUGUUCAGGUAUUUAACAGUGGAAUGAGAUUCUAUGGUACCAAUAAAUAAACUAAAAAUCAUAAAAGUUUUGAAAAAACAGUCAUUGACUGUUUUCAGCUGAUAAAGGCUAAGUCGGUACGACCAGAAUGAGGAAAAUAUUGACAGUGAUGCGUAUGUGCAUUGAUUUUUUAAAAAUAUCCUAAAAAAGACUCACCUUCCUCUAUUUUCUAUCUCUGGUUUCUGAGGUUGCGCAAGAUAAGCAACCACUCAUACUCACAAGCACACCUAAGGUCAGUAGGUUAUAGAAUUACCAACUAAUGCUGUUUUUUGCACUGUAGCAGGAAACUGUAGCAGGAAACUGGAUCACUCACCGUUUUUACACGCGGACAAGAAGAACAUGCAAACGCUACACAGAAAGCCCCCCUGCAGAGAUUCUGUUUCUAAUUUUUGCUGUGGGGUGGACUGCAGAGUAGAAGAAUCUGUCACAAGUGGAAGACGCGUCCCAGUCGGCCUUCCAGAAGCAGCGGUCUCAUCCUCAUCAUCAACCGUUCAUCCAUCUGCUUUGAGAUCGAUACGCUCCCAGAUGUUGAGGAGGGGGAGGAAGAAAAGCCCCGCCGUGCCCCUCACACCCCACCAGUCAGCAAGGCCCGCCUUUCGUAAGCUGGCACGACAUUCUGCUCACACCAGGACAAACUUGAUUUGACCAGAGGGAGGCUCCAGUGAUUGAUGAUUCCACCAUGUAUCUUCAGCUAUAGCAAUCUGGCCUGGCACCACCAAGCACUGCGCCUUUUUUAUGGGUGUGCAUGUGACGGGUAUUUGGAUAUAUGAAGCUGAAUAUUUUUGAGACUGGAAAGUGGAGAUAAAAUGUAACAAAUGUGUCUCAGUAUAUAUGCAA